AUGGAGCAGCUUAACUUGGAUGACGAAGAGUUUGAUGAUCUGGUAAUUGAAGAGGAUGAUCCCGUAAUCAAUGAAGGUGUCCGCUGGUUAGCCCUAGCUAGGGUUCAUACGGAUAAAACUUUCAGCCCGACGGCGUUCUACAGAGAGAUGCGGGCGGCCUGGAACCCGGCGAAACAGGUGAGGUUCAGUCCCGUCGGACUGAACUUGUUUAUCGUUCAGGCGGAGUGCCUUGGAGAUUGGGAGCGGAUGAUAGAUCUGGGCCCAUGGCUUUUCAGGAAUUGGGUAGUUCUCAUGUGCCCGUAUGACGGAUUUACUAAAGCAGAAGAAGUCCCUAUGUUAUUCAUGUCAGUCUGGUUGCAAAUCCACAAGCUGCCAGAGGGAUUCUGUGGGAGGAACAUCGUGGAAUCGCUGCUGAAGAAGUCUGGAGAGAUCAUGGAUAUGAGGCUGAACGGAAAUACCCGGGGUGACUAUGUGAGGGUUAGGGUUCGUCAUGACAUACGUCGUCCCCUUACAAAAUUCGUGAGUAUUGUCAGAGGAGAAGCAAGGCAGGUUUACCUGGUUCGUUAUGAGAAACUUGCCCACUUCUGCAGUGUCUGUGGAUUGAUUGGGCAUGACUUGAAGGAAUGUGGAACCGGGGUUCAUGAUGUGAAAGACAUGAAGUUCGGGAAUUGGCUGUAUGCAGAUGGUCCGAAUAGAGGAAGAACAGAUGAGGUUGAUCGUGGUAACGAUAAGCAGAAGCAACAGCAGCGCACCCCAGCAAAAGAAAAAGUUGGGAAGAUAGUUACUGACCCGGACUUGGCUGAUACGGCAUCUAGCCUGGUGAAGACUAGUACCAGAGAUAUGCAGGUCAAUCCACCGGCUCGUAAAAGGCUAGCUAUGGACUGCGCGGGGCAGGAAUUACCUAGUACAACGGCUGCUACUUUAGCUCUUACCCAAGGGCUAGGAGAAGACGGUGAUGCGCCUUCAUCGCCAAGCAACAGCUCAAAUAGUAAAAAAGCAAGGAUUGACUCCCAAGAGUUUUCGGAUGAUAGAUCGGCGGCCUCCCUAGAGGAGGACCACCGGGCACAAUGA
rnacentral:rRNA from 1 species